rnacentral:rRNA from 1 species
AGGAUGAACGCUGGCGGCGUGCCUAAAACAUGCAAGUCAUACGGUCUACCUUCGGGUAGACAGUGGCAAACGGGUGAGUAACACGUGGGAACACGCCUUCGAGUGGGGAAUAACGCUGAGAAAUCAGUGCUAAUACCGCAUAUGGUCUAACGACUAAAGCAGUAAUGCGCUCGGAGAGUGGCCCGCGUCCGAUUAGCUAGUUGGUGGGGUAAUGGCCUACCAAGGCGGUGAUCGGUAGCUGGUCUGAGAGGAUGGUCAGCCACACUGGGACUGCGAACGGCCCAGACUCCUACGGGAGGCAGCAGUUAGGAAUUUUCGGCAAUGGACGAAAGUCUGACCGAGCGACGCCGCGUGGAGGACGAAGCCUUUCGGGGUGUAAACUCCUUUUCUGCGGGAAGAUAAUGACGGUACCGCAGGAAUAAGCACCGGCUAACGUACGCGCCAGCAGCCCGC